rnacentral:rRNA from 1 species
GUAGGUGGCAAGCGUUGUCCGGAAUUAUUGGGCGUAAAGCGCGCGCAGGCGGUCCUUUAAGUCUGAUGUGAAAGCCCACGGCUCAACCGUGGAGGGUCAUUGGAAACUGGGGGACUUGAGUACAGAAGAGGAAAGCGGAAUUCCAAGUGUAGCGGUGAAAUGCGUAGAGAUUUGGAGGAACACCAGUGGCGAAGGCGGCUUUCUGGUCUGUAACUGAUGCUGAGGCGCGAAAGCGUGGGGAGCAAACAGGGAUUAGAUACCCUGGUAGUCCACGCCGUAAACGAUGAGUGCUAAGUGUUAGGGGGUUUCCGCCCCCUUAGUGCUGCAGCUAACGCAUUAAGCACUCCGCCUGGGGAGUACGGCCGCAAGGCUG